AUUCUGGUAUUGUUGCUGCAGCUGGUGUUGUGAAUCAGGCCGACAAGCAGCUCAUCCUAUUACCCGGCUAUUUCACCACACCAGGGUUGCAUCAUACCGCUCUCCUUC
rnacentral:pre_miRNA from 1 species